rnacentral:rRNA from 1 species
CCUACGUGUAGCUGCAGUGAGGAAUAUUGGUCAAUGGACGGGAGCCUGAACCAGCCAAGUAGCGUGCGGGAUGCCUGCCCUACGGGUGGUAAACUGCUUUUGUACGGUGAUAACACUCUACACUUGUGCAUGUUUUCAUGUACUUUGUUAAUCAGGACCGGCUCAUUCCGUGACAGCCGCCGCUGUAAUCCGGAUGGUCCGAGCGUUAUCCGGCGUUAUUGGGCUUAAAGGGUGCGUAGGCGGGCUUUCAAUUCAGCGGUACAGUCUCGUGGCUCAACCGCGCCCAGCAGUUGAAACUGGACGCAUUGAGAUGACAACAGGCAGGCGGAAUGCGUGGUGUAGCGGGGAAAUGCAUAGAUAUCACGAGGAACCCCGAUUGCGAAGGCAGCCUGCCGGGG